AUGAACGCUGGCGGCGUGUCUAAGGCAUGCAAGUCGAAUGCUCCGCAAGGGGCAUGGCAAACGGGUGCGUAACACAUUGGUAACCUACCUUCGAGUCGGGCAUAACUCCGCGAAAGCGGAAAUAACUCCCGAUGGACAUGAGGGGGCACAAGUCAUUCUCAUGUAAAGUUUAUCGCUCGAAGAGGGGCCUAUGGCCUAUCAGCUUGUUGGUGAGGUAAUGGCUCACCAAGGCAACGACGGGUAGCGGGUGUGAGAGCACGACCCGCCUCACUGGGACUGAGACACUGCCCAGACGCCUACGGGCGGCUGCAGUCGAGAAUAUUCCUCAAUGCACGAAAGUGUGAAGGAGCGACGCCGCGUGCCAGAUGAAGGCCUUCGGGUUGUAAAUGGCUUUUUUUAGGGACGAACAAAUGACGGUACCUAAAGAAUAAGUGGUUGCUAACUCUGU
rnacentral:rRNA from 1 species